rnacentral:rRNA from 1 species
AUUGAACGCUGGCGGCAUGCCUUACACAUGCAAGUCGAACGGUAACGCGGGGCAACCUGGCGACGAGUGGCGAACGGGUGAGUAAUGUAUCGGAACGUGCCCAGUUGUGGGGGAUAACGGCCGGAAGGGGCGGUAAAUCCGCAAUGCAACCGGGGGGUGAAAGCGGGGAAAGCAAAGCCCUGGCUGAAUGGGACGGGCCGAUAUCAGAUGAGGUAGUUGGUGGGGUAAAGGCCCACCAAGCCAACGAUCUGUAGCUGGUCUGAGAGGACGACCAGCCACACUGGGACUGAGACACGGCCCAGACUCCUACGGGAGGCAGCAGUGGGGAAUUUUGGACAAUGGACGCAAGUCUGAUCCAGCCAUGCCGCGUGCGGGAAGAAGGCCUUCGGGUUGUAAACCGCUUUUGUCAGGGAAGAAACGCUCUGGGUUAAUACCUCGGGGUAAUGACGGUACCUGAAGAAUAAGCACCGGCUAACUACGUGCCAGCCGCCGCCGUAACAC